CCUACGGGUGGCAGCAGUGAGGAAUAUUGGACAAUGGACGCAAGUCUGAACCAGCCAAGUAGCGUGCAGGAUGACGGCUCUCCGGGUUGUAAACUGCUUCUAGUUGGGAAUAAAAGGGGGCUCGUGAGCCCGGUACUGUAUGUACCAACAGAAAAAGGACCGGCUAAUUCCGUGCCAGCAGCCGCGGUAAUACGGAGGGUCCGGGCGUUAUCCGGAUUUAUGGGGUUUAAAGGGAGCGUAGGCCGGCGUUUAAGUCAGCUGUGAAAGUCCGCGGCUCAACCGUGGGAUUGCAGUUGAAACUGGAGGGCUUGAGUGCAGACGGGGAAACCGGAAUUCAUGGUGUAGCGGUGAAAUGCUUAGAUAUCAUGAAGAACUCCAGUCGCGAAGGCAAGUGUCCGGGGUGCAACUGACGCUGAGGCUCGAAAGUGCGGGUAUCAAACAGGAUUAGAUACCCUAGUAGUC
rnacentral:rRNA from 1 species